CUCCAGGCCCAUGAGACCAUUAAUCCAGCUCAGAUUGUAGUGUUAUGUUUUAUGCAAGCUAGCAAAUGCAGAGUUAAGACUAAUUGGAUCAUACUUAGCAUUAGAAAUAGCACAUUUAUCUACAUACAUCCAAAAGCAUGCCAAAGAAAAAGGGAGAUAUUAAUAUCAUGUGCCCAUGUAUUUUACUAGCUUGUGAAAAUUAUAUAUCUUUGCUUUCAAAUGAUCUAAAC